UCCCCAGUGGCGCAAUGGAGAUAGCGCGUCGGACUUCUAAUCCGGAGGUUGAGGGUUCGAGUCCCCUCCUGGGGUG
rnacentral:tRNA from 1 species